AAAAGAAGGUUAUCUUCAAAAAGCUAAAAUUGCAGAUGGAGGAAAGAAACUAAGGAAAAACUGGUCUACUUCCUGGAUUGUUCUUUCUAGUAGAAAAAUUGAAUUUUACAAAGAAUCCAAACAACAGGCUCUGUCCAAUACGUGGGAGAGUUGAUCCAGAAACAUAGCUUCUCAUUACAAUCUACCUCACUUUAAU